CUCAUCAAACACCCCCAAACUUAGUUCUUUGCUUGUCCUCGAGCAAACACAAAACUAAAGAUAAUUAUUAACGAGCACAAAAAAAACACGACUAAGACAGACAAAGUCACUCAAAAGAAACUUUAUGUUAGACACCUUGCAUUUAUUGCUCAAGAUUAAGAACACAGCGUCAAAUUCAUGAAGUACUUCAAAACUAUAAUGCAGGCGUCAAAUCCUCGCUCAUUCAAUGCAAACGGGUGUGUGUGUGGAGAGUUAAGCAUAACGCUGUACAAUAAUAAGUUGACCCAAUUCCCGACCUUAGAAGUCAAAUUUUUCCUUACUUCGCUCGUGGGAUUCACACACCCCAAACUUAUUUUCUUUUCUC
rnacentral:lncRNA from 1 species